GGCGGCAUGCCUUACACAUGCAAGUCGAACGGCAGCACGGGGGCAACCCUGGUGGCGAGUGGCGAACGGGUGAGUAAUACAUCGGAACGUGUCCUGUAGUGGGGGAUAGCCCGGCGAAAGCCGGAUUAAUACCGCAUACGCUCUACGGAGGAAAGGGGGGGAUCGCAAGACCUCCCGCUACAGGGGCGGCCGAUGGCAGAUUAGCUAGUUGGUGGGGUAAAGGCCUACCAAGGCGACGAUCUGUAGCUGGUCUGAGAGGACGACCAGCCACACUGGGACUGAGACACGGCCCAGACUCCUACGGGAGGCAGCAGUGGGGAAUUUUGGACAAUGGGGGAAACCCUGAUCCAGCAAUGCCGCGUGUGUGAAGAAGGCCUUCGGGUUGUAAAGCACUUUUGUCCGGAAAGAAAUCCUCUUC
rnacentral:rRNA from 1 species